AGUUAAUGAUCUUGAAAUAAGUUUAUAUUUUGAAAAUAUAAUAAAGAAAAAAUUUUCUAUUAACUU
rnacentral:tRNA from 1 species